rnacentral:rRNA from 1 species
UACGAAGGGGGCUAGCGUUGCUCGGAAUCACUGGGCGUAAAGGGUGCGUAGGCGGGUCUUUAAGUCAGGGGUGAAAUCCUGGAGCUCAACUCCAGAACUGCCUUUGAUACUGAGGAUCUUGAGUACGGGAGAGGUGAGUGGAACUGCGAGUGUAGAGGUGAAAUUCGUAGAUAUUCGCAAGAACACCAGUGGCGAAGGCGGCUCACUGGCCCGUUACUGACGCUGAGGCACGAAAGCGUGGGGAGCGAACAGG